GAGCCCACCAGUCCAGUAGGCAGUGGUCAGUCCUCCUAUGGCUUCUUUCUCCUGUGGUGGUCUCUUUUCGAAAUAGUCAAAUCAGACUUGCCCUCUUGGAAAUGUGGUCCAGAUUGCUCUACUCCCAAGCUCCAAAAAG
rnacentral:lncRNA from 1 species